UUCCCAGCAAUUCCUAUCCCUACCUCCUCGCGGAACUGGCCAACCCCUGGUGGGAAUUUUGGUCGUAUGCUGACAGGGAAGG
rnacentral:ribozyme from 1 species